CAUGGGUUGUUGUAGAUGCAACGGAGGUCUGGUCUAUAUGGGAAAAGAUUUGCAAGGAUCGUCUCAAGGAUCUAGUAGCGAAUAAACGCAAGAAGGUUAAGAUGGACUCAGACGCAUGCACGUCGAUCUCCUAUUGAUGAAAGUCACACACACACACAAGGCCAAGCAGAACAACCUAACAGAGAAGGACAGUAAUGUUGCAAAACAUACUAAGGGUUCCUUGCCUUUCACCCUACACCAGAACAGGAUGUUCGAGGAAAAGCAGCGUCAAGUGAUGUUCUCUGACCUCUUCGAAUGCAUUCACAAACAAUAGAAGGGUACUAGAGAAUUUGUGGACAAUAAGUCCAAGACUGUUUAUUAAGGAGCUGUCGACUCAACCGAAGUUUGAUCCUGAGGCAUGGAUCAAGGCCAUUGGAAGGCCCAAUAAUACUCGGACCCACAUCUACGGAUUUGGUACUAGAGUCCUCGUUUCAAGACUUCUAGCUCCAUCCAUGAUGUUUGAGUCUGCUUGUGGUCUUGAUGUUGCAUGACCUCCUCUGCCCCCUACACUUGAGCUCGGAGGAUAUAGACAAUUGGUUAAUACUAUUAGUACCUUGAUAACGUCGAUGGGUAAAAUUAAUAACUUAUUGGAAGUCAUUGCAGCAAGGUUAUUACCUUUCAACGCCUCUAAGUUUUCCUCAUCACAGUAAUCAAGUCUGCCACAUCCACCACAGUAAUAGCAAUAGUAGCCACCCUCAUCCCCUCAGUGAGCUUUGUAUUA